rnacentral:lncRNA from 1 species
UGUGCUAUGGGGCAGAGCUCUGUGCUAUGGGGCACUGUGCCCACUCUGUGCUAUGGGGCAGAGCUCUGCGCUAUGGGGCAGUGUGCUCAGUCCUAUGGGGCUCAGCCCCACUUUGUGCUAUGGGGCAGAGCUCUGUGCUAUGGGGCCCAGCUCCACAUUGCGCUAUGGGGCACAGCCCCGUUAGUGCUAUGGGGCACAGCUCUGUGCCGUGGGGCGCUGUGGGGCACAGUGGGGCCCCCCCAUGGCGUCCCCGCCCCAUAGAUGCCGGCAGCCCCUUAUCUCUGCAGUGCAGGUGGGGUGUGUGGGGCGGCGCCGUGGGGCAGUGCCGUGGGGCAGCGCCGUGGGGCAGUACAGUGUGGCAGUAGUAUGGGGCAAAGCCGUGGGGCAGCCCCAUGGGAAAGCGCUGUGGGGCAGAGCUGUGGGGCAGAGCCGUGGGGCAGAGCUGUGGGGCAGCGCCGUGGGGCAGCGCCGUGGGGCAGUGCUGUGGGGCAGUGCUAUGGGUCAGAGCUGUGGGGCAGAACCAUGGGACAAUGUUGUGGGGCGGUGCUAUGGGGCAGAGCUGUGGGGCAGUACAGUGUGGCAGUAGUAUGGGGCAAAGCCGUGGGGCAGCCCCAUGGGACAGUGCUGUGGGGCAGAGCCGUGGGGCAGAGCCGUGGGGCAGUGCUGUGGGGCAGCCCCAUGGGGCAGUGCUAUGGGGCAGUCGUAUGGAGCAGAGCCGUGGGGCAGCCCCAUGGGUCAGUGCUGUGGGGCAGUGCCAUGGGGCAGCGCUGUGGGGCAGUGCUAUGGGGCAGUGCUGUGGGGCAGAACCAUGGGACAAUGUUGUGGGGCAGUGCUGUGGGGCAGUGCUGUGGGGCAGCGCCGUGGGACAGUGCUAUGGGGCAGAGCUGUGGGGCAGAGCUGUGGGGCAGUGCUGUGGGGCAGUGCUAUGGGGCAGUGCUGUGGGGCAGAACCAUGAGACAAUGUUGUGGGGCAGUGCUAUGGGGCAGAGCUGUGGGGCAGCACCGUGGGGCAGUGCUGUGGGGCAGAGCUGUGGGGCAGCGCCGUGGGGCAGCGCCGUGGGGCAGUGCUGUGGGGCAGAGCUGUGGGGCAGCGCCGUGGGGCAGCGCCGUGGGGCAGUGCUGUGGGGCAGUGCUGUGGGGCAGAACCAUGGGACAAUGUUGUGGGGCAGUGCUAUGGGGCAGAGCUGUGGGGCAGCACCGUGGGGCAGUGCCAGGGGGCAGCCCUAUGGGACAGUGCUAUGGGGCAGAGCCGUGGGGCAGAGCUGUGGGGCAGUGCUAUGGGGCAGAGCCGUGGGGCAGCCCCAUGGGGCAGUGCUGUGGGGCAGCGCCGUUGGUUGUGGGGCAGCCGCUAUGGGGCAGCGCCAUUGGUUGUGGGGCAGCCGCUAUGGGGCAGCUCCAUUGGUUGUGGGGCAGCCGCUAUGGGGCAGCGCUGUUGGUUGUGGGGCGGCCGCUAUGGGGCAGCGCUGUUGGUUGUGGGGCGGCCGCUAUGGGGCAGCGGUGCUGGUUGUGGGGCGGCCGCUAUGGGGCAGAGCUGCUGGUUGUGGGGUGCCGCUAUGGGGCAGGCCCCAGGGGUGGGGGCGUGGCCUCAGGAAAGGGGGCGUGGCCUAAGGAUGGGGCAGGAAGAGCGUUGAAUGGCGGUGGGCGUGGCUUAAUGGAAGUGGGCGUGGCCUUAAGGGUAGGGGGCGUGGCCUAAGGGGGCAGCAGAACGGUGGCCAAUGGCGGUGGGCGUGGCUUAAUGGGAGGUGGGCGUGGCCUAAGGGGCAUCAAACGGCGUCCUAUGGUGGUGGGCGUGGCUUAACAGGUGGGCGUGGCCUGAGGGUCUGUGUGUCCUAUGGCGGUGGGCGUGGCCUAAUGGAACAGUGGGCGUGGUCUAUAGUUGUGGGCGUGGCCUAAGGGGGGCAGCAAAACGGUGGCCUAUGGCGGUGGGCGUGGCUUAUCGGGGGUGGGCGUGGCCUAAGGGCAGCAAUACGGUGUCUUAUGGUGGUGGGCGUGGCUUAAGGAGGUGGGCGUGGCCUAAGUUGGCAGCAAAACGGUGUCCAAUGACGGUGGGCGUGGCUUAACGGGGAGGCGGGCGUGGCCUAAUGGGCUACAAACGGUGUCCUAUGACGGUGGGCGUGGCUUAACGGGGAGGUGGGCGUGGCCUAAGCGUGGCCGGCGGGAUUCCUUCGGCGGUGGGCGUGGCUUAAGGGAAGGGGGCGGGCCUAAGGGGCGGCAAAACGGUGUCCAAUGACGGUGGGCGUGGCUUAACGGGGGUGGGCGUGGCCUAAGGGCAGCGAAAAAAACGGUGUCCAAAGAAGUAGGCGUGGCUUAACGGGGGUGGUGGGCGUGGCCUAAGAGUGACGUGAGGAUGUCUUACGGGGGUGGGCGUGGCUUAACGGGGGUGGGCGUGGCCAAAACGUGACAUGAGCGUG